rnacentral:misc_RNA from 1 species
AACGGUCUAUACCUGCGGUACCUGCGGAGGGAUCAUUACCGAGUGCGGGCCCUCUGGGUCCAACCUCCCACCCGUGUCUAUUGUACCUUGUUGCUUCGGCGGGCCCGCCGUCAGGCCGCCGGGGGGCAUCUGCCCCCGGGCCCGCGCCCGCCGAAGACCCCAACAUGAACACUGUUCUGAAGGUUUGCAGUCUGAGUUGAUUAUCAUAAUCAGUUAAAACUUUUAACAACGGAUCUCUAG